UUACGACUGCAGGCUGCUGGACAUAAAGGUUUGAGAGAAAGCAGUCCUGAUUUAAGAGCAGGGUUUACAGGACACAUACUGGGGAGGGAAAUGCGGGCACAAGAAUGCCACUGGGCUUAAGCAAGCACGCCCUGAGCACUGACACACAAGUGGUGGGAGGUGAGGCCAGGAGAGUCCACAGCAGGGACAGUCGUGGGCCAGGAAAGCUGCACAGAGAAGGUCACGAUGUGCAAUGCAGGGCUGCUACCCUCCCUGAGUAUCUAACUCCUCCAGACAUCAAGGGACACUGACAGCAAGGACACCUCUUGCUUUUAUGGAGGACUUAAUUGAAAACUGUAUUUUUCCUAGGGUGAUAAAGAUUCUUGCAAAGAAAAAAGGCUCUGGAAAGUCACAUCAAAAUAGUGGUGAGUUCUGAGGAAAGUGGAAACAUCAAGUUUGAAUUACAUGCUGGAACCUGAAAGAACACAACCACUUGUCAAUUAAAAAUAUUCUGACAUCUUGGAUCUCGCUGGUUGGGGAGACACUGCCCUUCGCACGCCAACCCUCGCAGGGCUGGAUAAUUCCUGAACGUAUUUCUCAUACGCCACCCAUCUGUGAAUACAGAAUAUGGCAGGGGCAAAAUGGCUGCACUCAAGAAAAUGGCAAGAACAGGGCUAUCUCGGCAGAGGUGCUACAGAGGUUCAGAAAGGAAGAGGACACACAAAGAAGCUUAGGUCUGACAGCGAGCUCCAAGGGCACCAAAGGAAGAGUCAACAACAGACAGGUAAGUGGACCCAAAGCCCAGGCUGCGGCCGCAAUGGGUGAGCUGCACAGACUGAGAGUACGAGUUAGCCAGACUUCCAGCACUGACAGAGCAGACAGGCACGGCUGUACUCUCCAGGAAGCUGUAGUACAGACGGUAACAGCGUAACAGGGAGACUGACUGGUAUUGGCACUCAACUCAAUCCCACACAGCACUCCACACCCCCUCUUUAGUUUCAAUUCAUUUUUGAAGAAAAAAAAACCUACAAAAUAGAAUUCAAAUUGUUCCAUUUUUGAAAGAACAAGUAAAAUAUUUAAACAGGUUUACUACAAAGCUAUCAAUCAUUUACUUAGAUUUCCAAUAUGCGUCAUCUCAUGUAUCUCCUAAGAGUAAGCAACACUGAGACACCUUGAGGAAAAAGGCACUGGUAUCAGGAAGCUCAUGAAAACAAACAUUGCUCAGAGCAAUGGCAUCCAAGGAUCCUAAAGCAGUUCUACUGAAUAAAAAUAAUAAUCCAGAAAAAGUUAGAUACUAACCAAU